GUGAGGAAUAUUGGACAAUGGGCGCAAGCCUGAUCCAGCCAUGCCGCGUGCAGGAAGACGCAUCUAUGGUGUGUAAACUGCUUUUGUACGGGAAGAAACACUCCCUCGUGAGGGAGCUUGACGGUACCGUAAGAAUAAGGAUCGGCUAACUCCGUACCAGCAGCCGCGGUAAUACGGAGGAUCCAAGCGUUAUCCGGAAUCAUUGGGUUUAAAGGGUCCGUAGGCGGUUUAAUAAGUCAGUGGUGAAAGCCCAUCGCUCAACGAUGGAACGGCCAUUGAUACUGUUAGACUUGAAUUACAAGGAAGUAACUAGAAUAUGUAGUGUAGCGGUGAAAUGCUUAGAUAUUACAUGGAAUACCAAUUGCGAAGGCAGGUUACUACUUGUGGAUUGACGCUGAUGGACGAAAGCGUGGGGAGCGAACAGGAUUAGAUACCCCGGUAGUCC
rnacentral:rRNA from 1 species